CGAGCCAACUCUCCUGGCCAUUUCUCUUCACCUGUGAUAACAAAAUGUGUGUUGUGUGCAUUAGGGAGGCGGACAUAUGGUCUCAGCCCUUGAGUAGUUUUCGUAAUAGUUACUGGUCCUGAUGGCUCAAGUCCUUAGGCCUUCUAGUGACAGAGAGGUGCCAAUAUGCCCUGGUUUGUGUGGUUGGUACAAGAUUUCCUGGACGUUGUCAGUGAAGUUUGGAAAUGCAUGGAUACCACAAAAUAUUUAACAAGUCAAAAUGUAAAAGAAUGUCCUUGGUCCUGAAAAAAAUGACAAGAGCAACUGGCUGAGUGGAAAGGAAAGGUGGAGUAGGGGAAGAUGGACUUGACCGUUUUCAUCUGUCGGUAAAGGAAUUCAGCUGCAUCCUCCUGAGCCAGCUCGGCUGGUACCCACCCCUCCCCCAGCUUGGGAUGGUCUCAUUCCUGCCACCGCCAUUGUACUUCUCCUUGUGAUCAACACCAUUCACGUCUCAUUCCGGGAAACUAAGCGCAUCAUUUUUAGCACUGAUGACAUUUUACAAUGGUUGUUUUCAUUGUAUAUUUUUCUUUAUUAAGUGAGAGUCUGAGAUGACUGUGAGUCUAAGAAGAUUAAGAGGUCUUUUGUGCCCCAGCCCUGUUAGCUGAUCAGUGACUCCAAAUUCUCUGUAAAGAUUUUAGCUUAUAAAUCAGUGAGUUGUCAGUACAAUUUUUUUUAAAGACAUGUUACCUGGCAGGCAAAUAUGCUAACAUGAGGAACUGACAGUUCGUGCAUGGGUUAUUCAGUCCCUUAAUUGCUGCUUCUCUCACUGCCCUCCCUGUUUGUAUCAGAUCUGUCUUUUAGGAAAAGGCAUGAACACGAGGAAGUUUUAUAAAUUGUCUCUGAUGGAGAUUGGUUCCUUCCUCUUCCUUUCUCUCCAUUAAUAAUUAAUUGUUGAUCAUGAGUUCCGAGCCUUUCUCUCGCUCUCAUUUUUUUAGAGAAAGAAAAUGUUAUGCAUUAAGUUGUGUCAUUACAGUAUCAUAGCAGACUUGUAGGCUAUGCCCCACAGUUAAGAAGGUGGAGUAUCGAAAACUCAGUCACAUGUAAUCCCACUAUUAAUUGUCUGGUAGUCACAGUAUCUGUGAAGUAUCAACAAAUGUUCGCUUGUUACUGUGAAAUUACCUUUUGCAAAACAUGUGUGUUUGUACAGAAUAGCAUACUUUCAAAAAUGAGUUACUUUAGCUAAUUAUUUGUUAAUUUCGGUUUGCUUAUGUGUCU